AAAUCGUCUCGUCAGGCGGCCGGCCACCUUCCUGACUUCCAACGCCCAGGAAAAAAAUUGGGGAAAGUUUAUCGCCCGCAUCGCGCGCCCUUUCCCAGUUGGAGAUAAAAAUAAAAGGGGAAGGAAGGAAAUCGCGGGGACGUUAGCGCCCUUGUAGAGACCCCACCCUCGGCGUAAACGUGCAAAGUCCCAUUUCGUUAAAAAAAAAAAAAAAAAAAAAAAAAAAAAGAAAGAAAAAAAAACCAAGAACAGAACGCCGCUCGCUUACCACGUGCGCCAGCCCGCUCCGCCUGCGCUCCGGCCGGUCCCGCGGCCCCCGCGCUGGCCACCGGCAAGACGACGCCUCGGAGGGGAGCCCGACUCGCAUCUCCAGCCUGGAGUCCGAAAGAAGUGGCGGGGGGGAGCCGGAUUAUGCAAAUGUGGGUCGUGGCAGCGGGACUCGGGUUACGGCCCCGCCGGCCUCCGAGAGUGGUGAUGGAACGGAGUCAAGCCAACCACUCCGUGAUCGGUACUGGGAAGGCUAAAGCGACUUGCCUAAAGUCACGCAGCUGCCCGAAUGGAUAUUUCCUUCACAUCUCAGCACAAGCCUUUCCUUCCAGACCUCCCCACUCUUCCCUGGUCAUUCACCUCCUGUCCAUCACUGUGUGGUGUUCUUAGUGCUGGGCAGAUACAAUGAUGAGAAAAAGCUUCCAGACUUUAAGCAAUCUGCUCAACAUCACACACGUUGGAUUCAAAUGUGAGUCAUCUGAAUUCAGAAGCAAUGCUCUUGAAUAAUACUCUAUGCAGCUUCCCCUUUAUUUUUCUACAAAAGUGAAUGUCAUUAUGAGCAUCCAUUAAUUCAUUCAUUCAACCAAUAUUUAUUGAGCACUUCUAUGAUCCAGAUACUUGUCAACAAUAGGCUACAACAGGGAACAAAGAUCCUACAUUAUAUUCUAGUGGGAAAUAGACAUCAAACCACUCAUUACAAUAAAGUUUAACGAGCACUAAGACAGGAAGUUCCAGAGUGCCUUGGGAACCAGUAGUCUAAUUAAUUCCUGGUAUGACAAAUCCCUUCUAAAUCCCAUUAUGUUUAUAUAUUAGACUGGCCAGGGCACUGUUCAGAUGACCAGUAAGGGCUCCAUAUAGCCACCUCAUGAAAGAAGCAAUCUCUUAUUCGAUGCUGACAUAACCAGCUACCUUGGCCACAGAUUGGACUAAGACCUGCCAAAAGUAGCUAUCUUAUGCAAUGGUUGUCAUGCCCCUAGUUCUCUGAGCAAGAGCAAGAGAGAGAGAGGGUAGGUUGAGAAUUUGCAGAGAUACUCCAGAAAAAAAAAGACUUAAAGGAAAUCCACCAAAAUGCUACUCCAGAUAACUUGAUUAGUUAUCUCCAGAUAGGAGGUGGGUGAUGUUAUUUUCUUUUUUUACUUUUGUAUUUUCCUUAUGUUCUACAGUGGAUAAUGUGUUGCAUUUGUAGUUUCUAAAUUUUCUACAGGUGAUAAUGUUUUGUAUAUGCAGGUUUUAGAGCUCCAGACCACUUGUACAAUGACAGUAACCUGUAGAAAACAUAAAACUGUCAGUUGAAGAGAUUUAGCAUCUUUCUGACUACAGGAACUAAAAUGCUGUAUCCUGCUGGGGUUUUCUAAUUAUGGUAAAAUAAAUACAUAAUAUAAAUUAACCAUCAUAACCAUUGUAGUGAUAACCAUCGUGUCACUACAAUUUAGUGAUAUUGAGUACAUUGACAUUGUUGUGCAACCAGCACCACUAGCCAACUCCAGACUUUCUAUUUUUUUGCAACUUCUUUAAACUCUGAAUCCAUUAAACAAUAACUCCCUGUUCCCUUUCCUCCAACCCCUGGCAACCACCAUUCUACUUCCUGUCUCAAUGAAUUUGACUACUGUAGGGACCUCAUGUAAGUGGCACCUCAUAUACUAUUUGUCUUUUUAUGACUGGCUUAUUUCACUUAGCCCAAAGUCUUCUGAUGUCUUUACCCAUGUUGUAGCUUGUGUCAGAAUUUCCUUCCUUUUUAAGGCUGAAUAAUAUUCCAUUGUAUGUGUAUACCACAUCGUUUAUCCAUUUAUAACCCAAGUGUUUGUGUCUACCUCUUGGAUAUUGUGAAUCAUGUUGUUAUGAACAUUGAUGUUCAAAUAUCUGAAUCCCCACUUUCAAUUCUUUGGGGGUAUGUGUCCAAAAGUAGAGUUAUAUAUAUAUAUAUGGUAGUUCCAUGUUUAAUUUUUUGAGGAACUUCCAUAUCAUUUUCCAGAGUGGCUAUCCCUUUUUACAUUCCCAUCAACAGUGCACAAGGCUUCCAAUUUCUUCACAUAUUCACCAACACUUUUUAUUUUUGGUUUCUUGAUAAUAGUCAUCAUGAUGGGUGUGAGGCUUAUGUCCUGUGGUUUUCAUUUGCAUUUCCCUAAUGAUUAAUGAUGUUGAGCAUCUUUUCAUGUGCUUAUUGGUCAUUGGUCACAUUUCUUCUUCA